ACUGAACGCUGGCGGCAGGCUUAACACAUGCAAGUCGAGCGGAGAUGAGGUGCUUGCACCUUAUCUUAGCGGCGGACGGGUGAGUAAUGCUUAGGAAUCUGCCUAUUAGUGGGGGACAACAUUCCGAAAGGAAUGCUAAUACCGCAUACGCCCUACGGGGGAAAGCAGGGGAUCUUCGGACCUUGCGCUAAUAGGUGAGCCUAAGUCGGAUUAGCUAGUUGGUGGGGUAAAGGCCUACCAAGGCGACGAUCUGUAGCGGGUCUGAGAGGAUGAUCCGCCACACUGGGGCUGAGACACGGCCCAGACUCCUACGGGAGGCAGCAGUGGGGAAUAUUGGACAAUGGGCGGAAGCCUGAUCCAGCCAUGCCGCGUGUGUGAAGAAGGCCUUUUGGUUGUAAAGCACUUUAAGCGAGGAGGAGGCUACCUGGAUUAAUACUCUAGGAUAGUGGACGUUACUCGCAGAAUAAGCACCGGCUAACUCUGUGCCAGCCGCCGCCGUAAUAC
rnacentral:rRNA from 1 species